rnacentral:rRNA from 1 species
GAGUAGAGUGGCGAAAGGGCGAGGAACACAUGGGAACGUACCUUUGGCUCGGGGAUAGCUGUGGGAAACCGCAUGUAAUACCCGACAUCGCGGAAACGUGAAAGCCGGGGAUCGAAAGACCUGGCGGCCAGAGAGCGGCCCACGUCCUAUCAGCUUGUUGGUGAGGUAACGGCUCACCAAAGCGACGACGGGUACCGGGGCUGAGAGGUUGACCCGGCGCAUCGGGACUGAGACACUGGCCGGACUCCGAGGGGANGCUGCAGCACCGAAUAUUCCACAAUGGGCGAAAGCCUGAUGGAGCGACGCCGCGUGUGGGAGUAAGCCCUUCGGGGUGUAAACCACUGUCAGGGAUCACCAAGCGACCGGGGCGAACAGUCCCGGAAGUUGAGGAGUCCCAGAGGAAGUCACGGCUAACUUCGUGCCAGCAGCCGCGGUAAGACGAAGGUGGCGAGCGUUGUUCGGAAUUACUGGGCUUAAAGAGCACGUAGGUGGGCUUGCAAGCGUCUUGUGAAAGCCCCCGGCUUAACCGGGGAAUUGCAGGGCGAACUGCCAGCCUUGAGGCAGGUAAGGGCGAGUGGAACUCUUGAUGGAGCGGUG